CAUAAUUUCUGGCCAUGACUUGAUAGAAAAGCCCUAGGCAGCAGCUUGUGGGAAAACCACUUACCCGUUGGGAAAGAGAGAGAGAAGGACAGCUGAAAGAUGUCUUAUCACAGAUGUGCAUAAACCAGGUGGAAGACAGAAAUAUGGUGAUGGCUGGCUCUGCUCAGCAGGGUGGAUGUGAAUAGCAGUGGACCUAUGAGGAUGACCCAUGUGACAGG
rnacentral:lncRNA from 1 species